AGAUUUUUUAAUACUUUCUUAAUUUUUUA
rnacentral:tRNA from 9 species